CCCCUCCCGCCGGGUCCCUGGGAGUUAGCUGGCUCCGGGAGGCUGGGGACACUGAAUUCUGCAUCAUCUUUUGGGCUGCGGCGAUACAACGCCCCCCAGCCCCGCGGCCCAGCCUCGGGGCAGCCAUGGACUCGCAGGAAUUGAAGACUUUGAUUAAUUACUAUUGUCAAGAGAGAUAUUUCCAUCAUGUGUUACUGGUUGCCAGUGAAGGAAUUAAGAGGUAUGGAAGUGAUCCAGUCUUCAGGUUUUAUCAUGCCUAUGGCACAUUAAUGGAAGGUAAAACUCAAGAAGCUCUUCGAGAAUUUGAGGCUAUUAAAAAUAAACAAGAUGUAUCACUUUGUUCUCUAAUUGCACUGAUAUAUGCCCAUAAAAUGAGUCCUAAUCCAGAUAGAGAAGCUAUUCUGGAAUCAGAUGCCAGAGUGAAGGAACAACGUAAAGGAGCUGGAGAGAAAGCCUUAUACCAUGCAGGCUUAUUUUUAUGGCACAUUGGUCGCCAUGAUAAAGCAAGAGAAUAUAUUGACAGAAUGAUCAAAAUGUCAGAUGGUAGUAAACAGGGACACGUUUUGAAAGCAUGGCUUGAUAUUACAAGAGGAAAAGACCCUUACACUAAAAAAGCACUGAAGUAUUUUGAAGAGGGACUCCAAGAUGGGAAUGAUACUUUUGCUCUGCUGGGUAAGGCACAAUGCCUUGAGAUGCGCCAGAAUUAUUCAGGUGCCCUGGAGACUGUGAACCAGAUAAUCGUGAACUUUCCAAGCUUCCUUCCCGCUUUUGUUAAGAAAAUGAAAUUACAACUAGCCUUGCAGGAUUGGGACCAAACAGUUGAGACAGCACAACGGUUGCUGCUCCAAGAUAGCCAAAAUGUGGAAGCACUGAGAAUGCAGGCACUCUACUAUGUGUGUAGGGAGGGGGAUAUAGAGAAGGCUUCCACCAAGCUGGAAAACUUGGGAAAUGCAUUGGAUGCCAUGGAACCACAGAAUGCUCAACUUUUCUAUAACAUUACACUCGCCUUCAGCAGAACUUGUGGACGUAGUCAACUCAUUCUUCAAAAAAUUCAAACGUUACUUGAGAGAGCUUUUAGUUUAAACCCUCAGCAAUCAGAAUUUGCUACAGAACUUGGAUACCAAAUGAUUUUACAAGGAAGAGUUAAAGAGGCACUGAAGUGGUAUAAGACCGCCAUGACACUUGAUGAGACUAGUGUGUCUGCCCUAGUUGGAUUUAUCCAAUGUCAGCUGAUAGAAGGGCAAUUACAGGAUGCAGAUCAGCAGCUAGAAUUUUUAAAUGAAAUUCAGCAGUCCAUUGGAAAAUCUGCGGAAUUAAUCUAUUUACAUGCAGUUCUUGCCAUGAAGAAAAAUAAACGACAAGAAGAAGUUAUUAAUUUGUUAAAUGAUGUCCUAGACACUCAUUUUUCACAAAUUGAAGGUUUGCCUCUUGGCAUACAGUAUUUUGAAAAGCUAAAUCCUGAUUUCUUGUUGGAAAUUGUUACGGAAUAUCUGAGCUUCUGUCCAAUGCAGCCUGCAAGUCCUGGGCAACCUCUUUGUCCACUUCUCAGGCGUUGUGUCUCAGUCCUGGAGACCGUAGUAAGAACUGUUCCAGGUCUUCUACAAACCGUCUUCCUAAUAGCAAAAGUGAAAUAUUUGUCAGGUGAUAUUGAAGCAGCUUUUAAUAACCUUCAGCAUUGCUUAGAACACAAUCCCUCUUAUGCCGAUGCUCAUCUGCUGCUAGCUCAGGUUUACUUGUCUCAAGAAAAAGUCAAAUUGUGUUCUCAGUCUCUUGAACUUUGUCUGAGCUAUGAUUUUAAGGUGAGAGAAUAUCCCUUAUAUCAUUUGAUAAAAGCUCAGUCACAAAAGAAAAUGGGAGAAAUAGCAGAUGCAAUUAAAACACUGCAUAUGGCAAUGAGUUUACCAGGAAUGAAAAGAAUUGGAGCUUCCACAAAAUCAAAAGACAGAAAAACUGAAGUUGAUACAAGCCAUCGUUUAUCGAUCUUUCUUGAAUUGAUAGAGCUUCACCGCUUAAAUGGAGAGCAGCAUGAGGCAGCCAAAGUUUUACAAGAUGCCAUCCAUGAAUUUUCUGGAACAUCUGAAGAAGUGCGGGUUACCAUUGCUAAUGCAGACCUAGCUCUAGCCCAAGGAGAUAUUGAACGGGCUUUAAGCAUCCUUCAGAAUGUUACAGCCGAACAGCCUUAUUUUAUAGAGGCCAGAGAAAAAAUGGCAGAUAUUUAUCUGAAGCACAGAAAAGAUAAAAUGUUAUAUAUCACUUGUUUUAGAGAAAUUGCUGAAAGAAUGGCUAACCCUCGGUCUUUUCUUCUCCUCGGUGAUGCAUACAUGAAUAUUCUAGAGCCUGAAGAAGCCAUAGUAGCAUACGAGCAAGCAUUAAAUCAGAACCCGAAAGAUGGGACAUUGGCAAGUAAAAUGGGCAAAGCACUUAUCAAAACUCAUAACUACUCAAUGGCAAUCACUUACUAUGAAACUGCUCUGAAAAGUGGACAAAAGAAUUAUCUUUGCUAUGACCUGGCUGAGCUCUUAUUAAAAUUGAAAUGGUAUGACAAAGCAGAAAAAGUUCUUCAACAUGCUCUGGCCCAUGAACCUGUAAAUGAACUGUCAGCUCUCAUGGAGGAUGGACGUUGUCAAGUUCUUCUAGCAAAAGUUUAUAGUAAAAUGGAAAGACCUGGUGAUGCGAUCACUGCAUUACAACAGGCUCGAGAAUUACAAGCUCGGGUACUAAAACGUGUUCAGAUGGAACAGCCAGAUGCAGUUCCUGCACAGAAACAUUUAGCAGCUGAAAUUUGUGCAGAGAUUGCAAAACAUUCUGUUGCUCAGCGAGACUAUGAAAAAGCAAUUAAGUUUUAUAGAGAGGCUCUGGUUCACUGUGAAACAGAUAAUAAGAUUAUGUUGGAACUGGCACGAUUAUACCUGGCACAAGAUGACCCUGAUUCCUGCCUGCGGCAGUGUGCUUUACUGCUUCAGAGUGACCAGGAUAAUGAAGCUGCUACCAUGAUGAUGGCUGAUCUCAUGUUCAGAAAACAAGACUAUGAACAAGCAGUGUUUCAUUUACAGCAGCUUUUAGAACGUAAGCCAGAUAAUUAUAUGACAUUAUCUCGUUUGAUUGAUCUCCUAAGACGAUGUGGAAAACUCGAGGAUGUCCCAAGAUUUUUCUCAAUGGCUGAGAAACGUAACUCCAGAGCAAAGUUGGAGCCAGGAUUUCAGUAUUGUAAAGGACUAUAUCUUUGGUACACUGGAGAACCAAAUGAUGCCCUUCGACAUUUUAAUAAAGCUCGGAAAGAUCGUGACUGGGGCCAAAAUGCCCUUUAUAAUAUGAUAGAAAUCUGUUUGAAUCCAGAUAAUGAAACUAUUGGAGGUGAAGUAUUUGAAAACCUGGAUGGAGACCUGGGUAAUUCAACUGAGAAGCAAGAAUCUGUGCAAUUGGCAGUAAGAACAGCAGAAAAACUUCUUAAGGAACUAAAACCUCAGACUGUUCAGGGUCACGUACAGCUUCGCAUAAUGGAAAACUAUUGCUUAAUGGCUACCAAACAGAAAUCUAACGUUGAACAAGCAUUAAAUACCUUCACUGAAAUAGCAGCAUCUGAGAAGGAUCAUAUCCCAGCACUCUUGGGAAUGGCAACGGCUUAUAUGAUCUUGAAACAGACUCCACGAGCCAGAAACCAGCUGAAACGUAUUGCGAAAAUGAAUUGGAAUGCUAUUGAUGCCGAAGAGUUUGAGAAGAGUUGGCUGCUACUUGCUGAUAUUUACAUUCAAUCAGCAAAAUAUGACAUGGCAGAAGAACUAUUAAAACGGUGCCUGCGUCAUAAUAGAUCUUGCUGCAAAGCUUAUGAAUACAUGGGAUACAUUAUGGAAAAAGAGCAAGCGUAUACAGAUGCUGCCUUGAACUAUGAGAUGGCAUGGAAAUACAGCAAUCGGACAAAUCCAGCAGUAGGAUACAAACUGGCAUUUAAUUACUUAAAAGCAAAAAGAUAUGUGGAUUCAAUUGACAUAUGUCACCAGGAUUUGAUUGCCUCAUGUGACAAGCCCAAGAUCUGUGACAGUUGGAGCUCAAACUAGGCAGUCUUGAUUCCAGACUCCUCUAAACUAGUAUUUCAAGGAACUAAUGCCCAUGACAUGUUAAAUGGAAGUUUGGGGACUUACACUCAGGAUGGAACCAGGGGGACCCAGCAGAAAUGAAAGAAUUUUCUGUGGAUCUGAGAUCGGGACACCUGCCCCCCUCAUGUGCACAUCAGUGAAUCUGGCUCAAUGCCCAUAAAAGCAAUCUGAUCCCAUAAAUGAAGGAUGCGAAGUAAUGAGCAGGUUCUAAAUGUCUUACUUCUGAGUGGUAUAACAUGAGACUCGAUGGCAAUCCUUAAACCAGGCUGCUUUCAAAUAGUGGCACCCUCAGUCAUCACAACCAUUAGACUGGACGUCUGUCUCCAUGGAGAAUAUGUGAAUACCUCCGAAUAUACUUCCUGAAGGAGCUGCCAAACUAUUUUCAGCAAUGGCAAAACAUAGAACGAAUCCAAGCCAUUUGACCGAUAUUCACUGAAGACCUAUUCUAUGCCAAGCACUGUGCCAGGCAGAGGGAAAGCCCUCAUAUCGGGCAGAGCUGGUCUUCUCCAGUAGAUCUUGUGAGACUUAUUGGCUUUCAUUCUGUCUUGCCACUGCCAUGUAAGUAGUAGGUUUUGCCUUCCACUAUGAUUAUGAGGCCUCCCCAACCAUGUGGAACUAUGAAUUUAUUAAACCUCUUGUAUUAGUCUAUUUCCAUGCUGGUGAUAAAAGACAUAUACCUGAGACUGGAUAGUUUACAGAAAAAAGAAGUUUAAUGGGACUUACAGUUCCACAUGCCUGAGAAGGCCUCACAAUCAUGGUGGAAGCCAAGGAGAAGCAAGUCAACUCUUACAUGGAUAGCAGUAGGCAAAAAGAGAGAGCUUGUGCAGGAAAUUCCUCCUUAUAAUACUGUCAGAUAUUAUGAGACCUAUUUGCUAUCACAAGAACAGCACAGAUAUUAUGAGACUUAUUCUCUAUCACAAAAACAG